UCCGGGUGGACAGGGAGACAGGUGGUGCGAUGGUUGUCGUCAGCUCGUGUCGUGAGAUGUUGGGUUAAGUCCCGCAACGAGCGCAACCCCUACGUUUAGUUGCUAACGCGUGAAGGCGAGCACUCUAGACGAACUGCCGUUGACAAAACGGAGGAAGGUGGGGAUGACGUCAAAUCAUCAUGCCCCUUAUGUUCUGGGCUACACACGUGCUACAAUGGCCGGUACAGACGGACGCAAAGCCGCGAGGCGGAGCAAAUCCGAAAAAGCCGGUCUCAGUUCGGAUUGCAGGCUGCAAUUCGCCUGCAUGAAGUCGGAAUCGCUAGUAAUCGCAGGUCAGCAUACUGCGGUCGAAUACGUUCCCGGGCCUU
rnacentral:rRNA from 1 species